AGAGUUUGAUCCUGGCUCAGAAUGAACGCUGGCGGCGUGCUUAACACAUGCAAGUCGCACGAGAAAGCCUUGGCUUGCCAGGGCGAGUAAAGUGGCGCACGGGUGAGUAACGCGUGGGUAAUCUACCCUUGAAUCGGGGAUAACCCUUCGAAAGGAGGGCUAACACCGGAUAACAUCGGUUUAUUUUCGAAUUUACCGAUCAAAUGUGGCCUCUACAUGUAAGCUACUGUUUGAGGAUGAGCCCGCGUACCAUUAGCUAGUUGGCAGGGUAAAGGCCUACCAAGGCGACGAUGGUUAGCUGGUCUGAGAGGAUGAUCAGCCACACUGGAACUGACACACGGUCCAGACUCCUACGGGAGGCAGCAGUGAGGAAUUUUGCGCAAUGGGGGAAACCCUGACGCAGCAACGCCGCGUGAGUGAUGAAGGCUUUCGGGUCGUAAAGCUCUGUCAAGUGGGAAGAACCUGCCUGUGGAUAAUACCCAUGGGUACUGACGGUACCACUGAAGGAAGCACCGGCUAACUCCGUGCCAGCAGCCGCGGUAAUACGGGGGGUGCAAGCGUUAUUCGGAUUUACUGGGCGUAAAGCGCGCGCAGGCGGUUUUGUAAGUCAGAUGUGAAAGCCCUGGGCUCAACCCGGGAAGUGCAUCUGAUACUGUAAGACUUGAGUAUGGGAGAGGGAAGUGGAAUUCCUGGUGUAGAGGUGAAAUUCGUAGAUAUCAGGAGGAACAUCGGUGGCGAAGGCGACUUCCUGGACCAAUACUGACGCUGAGGCGCGAAGGCGUGGGGAGCAAACAGGAUUAGAUACCCUGGUAGUCCACGCAGUAAACGGUGAUCACUAGGUGUAGCGGGUAUUGACCCCUGCUGUGCCGCAGCUAACGCAUUAAGUGAUCCGCCUGGGGAGUACGAUCGCAAGAUUAAAACUCAAAGGAAUUGACGG
rnacentral:rRNA from 1 species